UCUUCACAAUGAUGAUGGUGAAACACUGGAACAGGUCGUGCAGAGGUAUGGUGGAGGCCCUCAUCCCUGGAGACAUUCAAGGCAAAACUAUACAUCAGAGGAUCUUUUGUGUGUCUUUUAUUGGCAAAUGGAGAGGAACAUCCACAAAGAAAGACAUCCCUCUGGAAUCUUGAUUAAGACCUUUGUUUAGCAGGCCAGCUUUGCAAAAAUCAGAUUCACUGAUUGCAUUGAGUUGGAAGGGACUCUCAAAGGUCAUCUUCUCCAACCCCUUUGCAGUCAGCAGGAACUCCUCCAACUAGAUCAGGAUGCUCAGGACCACAUUGAGUCUGAUCUUGAAUGUGUCCAGGGAUGGGGCCUCAGCCACAUCCCUGGGCAACCUGUUCUAGUAUUUUACCACUCAUUGUAAAGAAGUUUUUUUGUUGUU